CUCUGGAACACAAGGCCGAGCGGUGAGUCGGGCGCCGCCGGGAGGCUCGCUGAGCGGCGCCCGUGCUGGCGCACACGCAGCUUCACGCCACCUGUGUGACGGACGAGCUGGGGGAGCCCUCGCUGUCCCCACUUUUAAGUCGCACUGCGUCUCCCUGAGACCAAGAUGGAGAAGGAGACCUUCGCCUGUUACGACGGACGCAGACCAGCAGGAAGGGCUCGUGAAAGGCCGAGUGGGGGACGGCAGCCUGGUGAGGACGUGCACUCGUAAUACAUUCGGGAGGAGCGUGUGCACUGAGGAGCAGCCUCUGAAGAUGCUAUCUCUGGACUCUGGCCACGGAGCCCGGCGGCUGGAGCGCCGUCCCGAUACACCAAGGUUGCAAGUUCGAUCCCCGGUCAGGGCACAUGUAAGACUCAGCCAAUGACUGCAUCAGUAAGUGGGACAACAAAUUGGUGUUUCUCUCUUUCACAAAAGAUCAAUGACAACGUGACCUCCACACACCAGGAACAAGCCCCGGGGACAACACUGGGCUCUGAAAUGAGCAGGAUGGUGCCAGGAGGUGACAUGGUCUCUGGCUGCACCCACAGACAUGGGUGCGUCCCCCUCGACGAGAGCCCUGGCCUUUGAGCCGUGAGCGCCCUGCCACCGCCCUGCGGCUACGACAGAUGACUGCAGCAGCUCCUCUCCCCUCUCAGGAAGCAGCCCUGAGCUGGUGGCCUGAUGGGCACUGGCCCUCCACCAGGACGACGAAAGUGAGACGUAAAUGGGCACCUUCCACCCUAAACCAGGAGCGGGCCCAGGGGGCCAUGCCAGCUUCGCCAGCUUGCUGGUCUCUAGGGGCCAGAGCCCAGUCACGAAGGAGGAAGGGGCAGGCUCAGAGUGUCACCCUGAUCAGGCCAGCUGCCUCUCCUGGUACCCGGGUUUCCCCAGCACCACACUAGAAAGAGCCACGCUCUCAAUUUAGUGGCAGUUUCUGUGGCCUGAGACCACACACACCCCUGCCGUGGGAAGUUCCCACACAGGCACAGAGUUCCACUGGGAAGCGUGGCCACAGUGCCUCCCCCUCCGAGGGAGCGGCCCCUCUGGAGCGCUUCAAGGGUGGGGCCAGCCAACGCCAGCUGGCCCACCCUCUCAGUCUCCAAACGCACUGGCUUCUUCCCUGCCCCCAGGUUUUCUCACCUGGGGUUCCCCCCUCCCUUGCCCACCUUUUUGGAGUCAAGCCAACCAUGACCUGGCUAAGGAAGCCCUCUUGGACUGAGACACUAGAAGGCACAGCUGUUACACCCCUUUGUGGCCUGACCCACGAGGUGUCUGUCGGUGCCUCCUCUCUCUGCCCCUCGGAGCAGAAGGGAUGGGUCUCUCCAUCUAUCCCCUCCCGUACCCCUAGACCCGCCCCCAGGCCCCCAGAUAGCACCUGGCCCACUGUGAACAACAAACACUGGAGACUGUUUCCCAAAGCACAGGGACUCUGCCGUCACUCAUUUUGGUGCCCUCCUCCCUCUCUCACAAUGGCAGCAGGAGGAAGGAGAUUUAUGAAUCACCACCCGCACAGCUGCUGAUCACAGCACACGAUCGCUUCCCCACAGAGCAACGACCAACAGAUCCCAUCAGAUUCCCAUCAGAUCUCCAACCCUCUCCUGUGCUAUUUCCGAUCAAAUGUCACCCGAGAAGAUGACACAACUGAAGUUAUAAAGCGGUGACUCCCGACCAUCACAAGCUUUCUCCUGACCACAGGGAAAGACGGUGCUGUGACUGUGAGUGAGUGUCCCCCGUCACUACAAAGGCAGCCACACAGCACGCACACUCUGCGGGUCCCCGAGAUGGUCGUGUGGCUAGCGUCACAACUGGGGGCUCUGUGAUGCCCAUGGAAGUGACUGAGGGCAGAGACCACAGGCCCCCAGCACCAGGCCAGAAACCAACACCUGGCCACCGGGCGCUGGUAAUGGUGGGUGUGGCGUCCGGCCCCAGGACUCUGCAUUCACGGAAGACCUGGCCCGCAGAGCGCUUCUUUAGGGCGAGGGAAAGUCAGGUGGCUGUUAGCACGAGACACGCGCUGCCGGGCCGAGUUCUUUGUAGACCACGAGGCAGCCAGUCGCCCCCCCCAGGCCCGCUGAGCCCCCCCCACUGCCGCCGCCGCUCUCUGCAGGUGUGAGUUCUCUCGUGACGCCUUCCCCGAACCCACCUCCAACCACAGGGUCCACCGGGUGCAGGAGGCCCAGCGUCGUCGUCCCAUCUGGCUUUCUUCUUUCAAACUCGCACUGCAAUGACCCGAAGCAUUCGCAUCAACGGUUCUGUACGUGUUGUACGUGUGUGCGCACGUGUGGCUGGCACCAAGAACCUUACUACAGCCACACUCACUACGGGUACUGUCUCACUACACCCAGAUCGACUGCCGCAUCUGUCUGCAGACGCGAUGGGCUAAAGACGAUGGCUAGGAAAACUUCAGGGUUUGGAAGAGCUUGGCGGGUCCUUAAGGCCACCUUGAUCUGCCUGCGCAGCUCAGAGAGGACACUGAAGACCAGGAGGGUGGCUUGCCUAAGUCACGUACCAACCCACCUGCUUUUAAAACCAGUGUGUUAAACAACAUCAUUUCAAAAGACCAGAGUAUAAAUGUUUUCUUGUAAGCUUAAAAUAAAGUAUGUGGUUCAUUUUCCAGUUUUAGAACACAUUAACUUCACUAAAAAACCCCCAGUACUAGAGGGUAAGACUGACCAUGGAACUCUCGAACACACGCUCACUUUUCUGCCCCGCGUGCCGUGCGGGGAGCUCCGAGGCAGGCGUGGGCCAGGGGCACAGCCUGGCUCAGGGCCCCGGGAAGGAAGGAGACGCGCCGUCACCUGACUGUUCGCCGGCCGCCGGGUCAGCUUUCCCCCGGACUCCCUCACGAGGCGGUCGAUCUGCUCUUGCUCUCUUUCCAGACUCUGGCUCCUGGCUCUGUCCUCGAGCACGUCUCUGUCCUUCCUGAAAGCACACACUAACGCUGAGCACGAGAGCGGAGGAGUGGAGACGUUAAAAAGCGCUCCCACCUCGAACACAACGGCCCAAUCGGACCCCUGGGAAGGGCGACCCGGGUCUGUCGGCUGGCUCCCUGCCUUCGGGCAGAGCCAUUUACCCUGAACCUAUUUCUCAGGACACCCACGAAAAUUAGUUCCGCCAUGAACGUAUUUUGAAGGCAGAGAAUUUUGACUUUUCAAAUUAAAAAUGAGUAUACAUUUACAAUGUAUAAACCUUGGAGACAAAAACUUGUCACAAGGUUCUGUUCUUUUCGCCGUGACAGCAGGGGUCCCAGACUGCCGACCAGAACCCUCUCCUGAGGCCACAGUGAGGGGUGGGCAUCAGCUGUGCGAGGAGCUGGCCCUGCUGCCGCCGCCCCGAGGGGCCGGGGGAAGUCACUGCUCCCAUGUGCGGGCGUCCGGGGGAGAUGCGGCCUAUCUCGGCAAGGCGUCCCUGCCUCUCCACCUCUUUAUGGAACGAGUAACUAUCGAGUUUUUAAACCCCAUGGCACGUGAAGUCUCCAUACAUUCUGGCACCCUAGGACGGCCGGCGGUCACCGACGCCACUGGGGAACGCCACGCUUCAGAGAAUGAAAGGCGGCGGGCAUGGCUUCUUUCUCAGAGUGCGUAAUGGCUCUUCUCACCAAAGAAGUCUUGUUUCUGUUUUGUGAAACUCACGUCUAACUCCCCAGCACACUGACGUGCUGUGGGGUUGUGCCGUGGCCGAGGCCUGAGGUUCGGGAGGCAGGUCUGCUCUGUGCCGACUCUCACCUUUGAACUCUGAGCCUGUCACUGGAGGCCCGGAGGAGGGAGGUCUCCUCAGGGUUGCAUAGCAACAGCAGCUAAGCCUUCAGCAGAACAACAGAAACUAAGGACCAGAGGGCAUUCAGAUAAGAGCGGUGCAGUCCAGAAAUGCCAGUGACUCAUCUGAGGUCACUCGGAGCCAGGGCCCGAGAGAGGCCUCCCUGUCUCCGGUGACUGCAGUGCGGGUUGUGAGAGCCUCAAGAACACGAGCUUGUCACUUUUACUGAACUUUUAUUUUAAAGUCAUCUUAAAAGUACUAAAGUAAUACAUUUUAUUCUAGACAAAGAUGUGGGUAGAGAGGAAAAUAAAAGCCUUGUUAAUUUAUUACCUAGCAAGCAACAGGGCUAACAGCUUUAUCAUCCCAGUGUUUUUCUAAGCAUUAUACAGAUUAGCAAACUGGAAUUAUACCAAAUAUUUGGGUACCAGAAUUUUUUCACUUAAUAGAUCACAAGCAUUUCCCCUCCAUAUCAUUAAAUACUCUUCAGUGCUUUUAAUGACUGUGUAGUAAUUCAUCCUAUUCUAUGUACCACGAUUUAGUUAAUAACUUCCCAUUAGACAUUUAGAUUAUUUCCAAGUUUCCACCAUUACAAACACAAGCCUCAUGAAGAUUAUUGUAAAUAAUCGAAGAAUCUUAAUCUCUCUUUAGGAUAAAUUCCUAAAAAUGAAAACACAAGGUCAAAGGUAAUAUUUUUCAGGCUUUUGAUAUUUUCUGCCAGACUGCCUUUCAGAAAAGCAGUACCAAUUUCUGUUACUGUUUGAAAGUUUCUCUGAGUCCCUGUCAAACAGUGUAAUUAAAGAAAAUGUGCUAAUUUGACUACUAAAAACAUCUCUUAUUUGAAUGCAUAUUUAAAAAAUAUCAGGGAACGUGACCAUUGCUGCACUGUCAUCGGCCACUUGCCACUUGUGUUCCGUCCCGGAGGCCACUUCCCGCCGCUCACCCCCUCCAGUGCCCUGUGACCUCUCAGGAUGGCCCGGGCGCUGACUUCUCGGUAACCUUCGUUCCGCUCCAGAACUGAAGCAGAACCUCAGUAACAACGUUUGGGGACUCUUUUUUUGGU